rnacentral:rRNA from 1 species
AGAGUUUGAUCCUGGCUCAGGAUGAACGCUGGCGGCGUGCCUAAUACAUGCAAGUCGAACGCUUUGUCUUUAAUUGAUCUGACGAGCUUGCUCUGAUGUGAUUUUAUCUGACAAAGAGUGGCGAACGGGUGAGUAACACGUGGGUAACCUACCUCUUAGCAGGGGAUAACAUUUGGAAACAAGUGCUAAUACCGUAUAAUACCAACAACCGCAUGGUUGUUGGUUGAAAGAUGGUUCUGCUAUCACUAAGAGAUGGACCCGCGGUGCAUUAGCUAGUUGGUAAGGUAACGGCUUACCAAGGCGAUGAUGCAUAGCCGAGUUGAGAGACUGAUCGGCCACAAUGGGACUGAGACACGGCCCAUACUCCUACGGGAGGCAGCAGUAGGGAAUCUUCCACAAUGGGCGCAAGCCUGAUGGAGCAACGCCGCGUGUGUGAUGAAGGGUUUCGGCUCGUAAAACACUGUUAUAAGAGAAGAACGGCACUGAGAGUAACUGUUCAGUGUGUGACGGUAUCUUACCAGAAAGGAACGGCUAAAUACGUGCCAGCAGCCGCGGUAAUACGUAUGUUCCAAGCGUUAUCCGGAUUUAUUGGGCGUAAAGCGAGCGCAGACGGUUAUUUAAGUCUGAAGUGAAAGCCCUCAGCUCAACUGAGGAAUGGCUUUGGAAACUGGAUGACUUGAGUGCAGUAGAGGAAAGUGGAACUCCAUGUGUAGCGGUGAAAUGCGUAGAUAUAUGGAAGAACACCAGUGGCGAAGGCGGCUUUCUGGACUGUAACUGACGUUGAGGCUCGAAAGUGUGGGUAGCAAACAGGAUUAGAUACCCUGGUAGUCCACACCGUAAACGAUGAGU